GAUGAACGCUGGCGGCGUGCCUAAUACAUGCAAGUCGAGCGAACAGACGAGGAGCUUGCUCCUCUGACGUUAGCGGCAGACGGGUGAGUAACACGUGGAUAACCUACCUAUAAGACUGGGAUAACUUCGGGAAACCGGAGCUAAUACCGGAUAAUAUAUUGAACCGCAUGGUUCAAUAGUGAAAGACGGUUUUGCUGUCACUUAUAGAUGGAUCCGCGCCGCAUUAGCUAGUUGGUAAGGUAACGGCUUACCAAGGCAACGAUGCGUAGCCGACCUGAGAGGGGGAUCGGCAAACCGGGACUUGGAAACGGGCCCGACACCCACGGGAGGCAACAGGAGGGAAUCCUCCCCAAAGGGGGAAAGCCUGACGGGGCAACGCCGGGGGAGGUGAUGAGGGUUUCCGAUCCGAAAACUCUUUUUAUUGGGAAAAAAAAAAUGGUAAGGAAAUAUUCACGGUCUUACGGUAACUAAUCAAAAAGGCACGGCUAACCACGGG
rnacentral:rRNA from 1 species